CCUACGGGUGGCAGCAGUGGGGAAUAUUGGACGAUGGGGGGAACCCUGAUCCAGCCAUGCCGCGUGUGUGAAGAAGGCCCUCGGGUUGUAAAGCACUUUCAGUGAGGAAGAACGCCUGGUGGUUAAUACCCAUCAGGAAAGACAUCACUCACAGAAGAAGCACCGGCUAACUCCGUGCCAGCAGCCGCGGUAAUACGGAGGGUGCGAGCGUUAAUCGGAAUUACUGGGCGUAAAGCGCGCGUAGGUGGCUUGAUAAGCCGGUUGUGAAAGCCCCGGGCUCAACCUGGGAACGGCAUCCGGAACUGUCAAGCUAGAGUGCAGGAGAGGAAGGUAGAAUUCCCGGUGUAGCGGUGAAAUGCGUAGAGAUCGGGAGGAAUACCAGUGGCGAAGGCGGCCUUCUGGACUGACACUGACACUGAGGUGCGAAAGCGUGGGUAGCAAACAGGAUUAGAUACCCUAGUAGUC
rnacentral:rRNA from 1 species